UACGGGGGGGGCAAGCGUUGUUCGGAAUUACUGGGCGUAAAGGGCUCGUAGGCGGUUCGGUAAGUCGGGUGUGAAACCUCCAGGCUCAACCUGGAGAUGCCACCUGAUACUGCUGUGACUCGAGUCCGGUAGGGGAGCGUGGAAUUCCUGGUGUAGCGGUGAAAUGCGCAGAUAUCAGGAGGAACACCAGCGGCGAAGGCGGCGCUCUGGGCCGGAACUGACGCUGAGGAGCGAAAGCGUGGGGAGCGAACAGG
rnacentral:rRNA from 1 species